UCUCAAUUCAACUACAUUUAGCUGCAUUGUCAAAUUUCCUUGUGGAUUUUUUUUUUUUGAAUUUUCUUUUUUAUUUUUUCUGGGAAAAGGAAGCUAAUUGGGUUUCGCAAACUUCAAAUUUUGCUUAUUCUUAUAUUUUCACUGAUAAGAACUGAUAAUUUGCCGAAAAGGGUGAUUCUUGUUUGCUGAGUUCUCUGAUACGUGUCUAAUAUUAAUAGGUGAGGUUGUUAGACAGGAAGAGAUUCAAUGGUUAGCUGCUGGUUAUAUAAAGAAGGAAAUACUUCUGUAAUUCAGUGUUUAUGAUGAAUAAAGAUCUUCUCUCUCUGAGAUUCUUCUUUUCAUUCUUCUCUCCCUGUAAUUCUUCUGUGUUUCCUUCCUUUCUAGUUCAAAUCUCCCUUCGGUUUGCAUCAGUGGUAUCAGAGCCAACGAUCCUUGGCCAUGGAUUUCUACUAGUAAGUCUCAUCUCCUCUUUCUCCUUUCUUGAAUCUAGGUUUCCCUCUUUUAUGUUCUUUCCAUCAAUUUCUUGUUUAUCAUUCUUCCUUCCAUUCUUCUUUGUAAUUUCUGAAGAAUCUGCUUAUCAAAUUCUUCAUCUCCAGAGAAACCUAUUUCACUUUUUCAAUCCUACUUUCGGUGUUUUUUUCUUUCCUUUCCACCAGAGAUAGAACCCCAUAAGAUUCUUUGUUUUUUGAACUUGCCCACUGAAAUUCUGAACUUUCUUGCAAAAUCUUCACUGUUCCCUUCAUCAAGAACCCAACAUUCUUGUUUCUUGAGUUCUUCUUGCGCAAAUUGGAUUUUUUCUUCCCUUUCAAUUACAAAAACUUUAUCGGAACUGAAUGAUAGAAGAUUUAGAGACUUGUGUUUGUGGUGCGAAGAAAUGUGGACAUUGGAUCAUAUUUGUGACAAAGAACUAUGGGUUAUCAUCAUAAAUGAUGUCGGAAAUGAGGAAGUCAUUGAUGAUGUUGAAUUUAAUAAAGAAGGUGCAAAUGAGAGAGAAUUUUGCAGAUUGUGGUGUUUGUUCUGUGAUUAGUAAUGAAAAUCAAAAUCAAAAUUAUGAUAGAGAAAACAAUGAUAAGCUCGACAAUGGGUUGGAGUUGGAAAUAAGUGCUUUUGCAGCCUUGGGUAUGGAUGUCAAAACUGCAGAUGCAAAUAAAAAAAUUGAAAACAUCGAUGACAAUUUAGAAGGCCAGUAUUUCAACAAUAAUGCUGAGAAGGAAUCUAACAACAUUAUUUUCUCAUGCCAUGAGAUUACAUCCUCGAAGAUUCAGGUUGAAUCUGACAUGUUCGCCAACUGGGAGGUGAAUUUAAUUCAAGAGAAUAGAAUUAAGAAUUCUUUCUUUACUGCAUAGGAAGGGAUUUAUGUAGAAGCAGCUCUCGUUAAUGGUAAAGAAGAUGAUGACCAUGCAGAUUAAAUGCAAGAUGAAACAAAGAUUAAACCAAGAUUCAAUUGGGCAUUUGGGAAUGAUCAAAUGCAUGCAAGAUGAAGUGGAAUUCUGCAGCACAAGUUUCUAUUUUCCUGUGUUUUUUUAGCUCUUCAAAAUUGCAAGGAUUCAGCUUCAAGCCUUCAAUUAAAUACUUUUCACUGCAAAUAUUACUUAGAUAUAUGCUGAUAGUUGUAGCAGAGAUUUUGUUUUUUAAGUAGUGUUUUUCAGUUUUCUUCCUUGAGGGCAAGGAAGCUUGAGGGGGAGGUAUUAAUAUGUGUCUAAUAUUAAUAGGUGAGAGUUGUUAGACUGUUAGACAGGAAGAGAUUCAAUGGUUAGCUCCUGGUCAUAUAAAGAAGGAAGUACUUCUGUAAUUCAGUGUGUAUGAUGAAUAAAGAUCUUCGUUCUCUGA